rnacentral:rRNA from 1 species
CAGUAGCCACGGUAAUACGUAGGUGGCAAGCGUUGUCCGGAAUUAUUGGGCGUAAAGGGCUCGCAGGCGGUUUCUUAAGUCUGAUGUGAAAGCCCCCGGCUCAACCGGGGAGGGUCAUUGGAAACUGGGAAACUUGAGUGCAGAAGAGGAGAGUGGAAUUCCACGUGUAGCGGUGAAAUGCGUGGAGAUGUGGAGGAACACCAGUGGCGAAGGCGACUCUCUGGUCUGUAACUGACGCUGAGGAGCGAAAGCGUGGGGAGCGAACAGGAUUAGAUACCCCUGUAGUCCCUGUCUCUUAUAC